AUUGAACGCUGGCGGCAGGCCUAACACAUGCAAGUCGAACGGUAACAGGAAGAAGCUUGCUUCUUUGCUGACGCGUGGCGGACGGGUGUGUCAUGUCUGGGAAACUGCCUGAUGGAGGGGGAUAACUACUGGAAACGGUAGCUAAUACCGCAUAACGUCGCAAGACCAAAAAGGGGGACCUUCGGGCCUCUUGCCAUCGGAUGUGCCCAGAUGGGAUUAGCUAGUAGGUGGGGUAACGGCUCACCUAGGCGACGAUCCCUAGCUGGUCUGAGAGGAUGACCGGCCACACUGGAACUGAGACACGGUCCAGACUCCUACGGGAGGCAGCAGUAGGGAAUAUUGCACAAUGGGCGCAAGCCUGAUGCAGCCAUGCCGCGUGUAUGAAGAAGGCCUUCGGAUUGUAAAGUACUUUCAGCGGGGAGGAAGAGAGUAAGGUUUAUACCUUUGCUCAUUGACGUUACCCGCAGAAGAAGCACCGGCUAACUCCGUG
rnacentral:rRNA from 1 species